rnacentral:rRNA from 1 species
UUGGAGGGCAAGUCUGGUGCCAGCAGCCGCGGUAAUUCCAGCUCCAAUAGCGUAUAUUAAAGUUGUUGCAGUUAAAAAGCUCGUAGUUGAAUUUUAGGCCUGGCCGGGCGGUCCGUCUUUGGCGAGUACUGUUCUGUGUCGGGUCUUACCUUCUGGUGAACCGGCAUGUUCUUUAUUGAGUGUACCGGGGAGCCAGGACCAUUACCUUGAAAAAAUUAGAGUGUUUAAAGCAGGC